AUGUCCGGGACCAGCGGUGGUGGCAGCGCCGCCGCCGGGAAAUCGGAUCUUGGUGAUUUCAUGGAGCAGCUUAACUUAGAGGACGAAGAGUUUGACGAUCUGGUGAUCGAGGAGAAUGAUCCGGUGAUCAAUGAAGGUGUCCGCUAGUUAGCCCUAGCUAGGGUUCACACGGAUAAGAUUUUCAGCCCGACUGCGUUCUACAGAGAGAUGCGUGCAGCUUGGAAUCCGGCGAAGCAGGUGAGGUUCAGGCCCGUCGGACCGAAUUUGUUCGUCGUUCAGGCGGACUGCCUUGGAGACUGGGAGCAUAUGGUGGAACAUGGUCCAUGGCUCUUCAGGAACUGGGUAGUACUCGUGUGCCCAUAUGAUGGGUUCACUAAGGCGGAGGAGGUCCCCAUGUUAUUCAUGCCAAUCUGGCUUCAAAUUCAGAAGUUGCCUGAUGGGUUCUGUAAAAACAAUACUGUGGAAUCGUUGUUGAGAAACUCCGGGGAGAUCUUGGAGAUGAGGUUGAACGGAAAUACCCGGGGUUAUGUGAGGGUUAGGGUUCGCCACGACAUUCGUCGACCGGUUACAAAGUUUGUCAGUAUUGUUAGAGGAGAAGCAAGACAUGUGCACUUUGUUCGUUAUGAGAAGCUUGACCACUUUUGUAGCGUUUGUGGCUUAAUUGGGCAUGAUUUCGAAGAGUGCGGCACCAGGGUUCAUGAUGUGAAGGACAUGAAGUUUGGGAACUGGUUGUAUGCAGAUGGACCGAAUAGAGCAGGAACUAAUGAGUUUGAACGGAGUAAUGAUAAGCAGAAGCAGCAGCAGCGCACCCCAACAAAAGAAAAAGCAGUGAAGAAAGCUACAGACCUGGACCUGGUCGACACGGCAUCUAGCCCGUCGAAGACUGGCGCCAGGGACAUGCAGGUUGACCCCCCCAGCUCGGAAGAGGUUGGCCAUGGACAGUGCGGGGAAGGAGAUACCUAUCGAACCUGCUGCUACACUAGCUCUAACUCAAGGACUGGGUGA
rnacentral:rRNA from 1 species